UUGGAGGGCAAGUCUGGUGCCAGCAGCCGCGGUAAUUCCAGCUCCAAUAGCGUAUAUUAAAGUUGUUGCAGUUUAAAAGCUCGUAGUUGAACUUCAGGCCUGGCUGGGUGGUCCGCCUCACGGCGUGUACUGUUCGGCUGGGUCUUACCUCUUGGUGAGGCGGCAUGCCCUUUACUGGGUGUGUCGCGGAACCAGGACUUUUACCUUGAGAAAAUUAGAGUGUUCAAAGCAGGCCUAUGCCCGGAUACGUUAGCAUGGAAUAAUAAAAUAGGACGUGCGGUUCUAUUUUGUUGGUUUCUAGAGUCGCCGUAAUGAUUAAUAGGGACAGUUGGGGACAUUCGUAUUGCAUUGCUAGAGGUGAAAUUCUUGGAUUUAUGCAAGACGAACUUCUGCGAAAGCAUUUGUCAAGGAUGUUUUCAUUAAUCAAGAACGAAGGUUAGGGGAUCGAAAACGAUCAGAUACCGUUGUAGUCUUAACAGUAAACUAUGCCGACUAGGGAUCGGACGACCUCAAUUUUGAUGCGUCGUUCGGCGCCUUACGGGAAAC
rnacentral:rRNA from 1 species